rnacentral:rRNA from 1 species
CUACGGGCGGCAGCAGUAGGGAAUAUUGGACAAUGGGCGAAAGCCUGAUCCAGCAACACCGCGUGCACGAUGACGGCCUUCGGGUUGUAAAGUGCUUUUAGAGGAGAUGAGAAAGGACAGUAUCCUCUGAAUAAGCCUCGGCGAACUACGUGCCAGCAGCCGCGGUAAAACGUAGGAGGCAAGCGUUAUCCGGAUUUAUUGGGCGUAAAGCGCGUGCAGGCGGUCUAGCAAGUUGGAUGUGAAAGCUCCCGGCUCAACUGGGAGAGGUCGUUCAAUACUGUUAGACUAGAGAAUAGGAGAGGGAGGUGGAAUUCCGGGUGUAGUGGUGAAAUGCGUAGAUAUCCGGAGGAACACCAGUGGCGAAAGCGGCCUCCUGGACUAUUUCUGACGCUAAGACGCGAAAGCUAGGGUAGCAAACGGGAUUAGAUACCCGUGUAGUC